CAGCAGCCACGGUAAUACGAAGGGGGCUAGCGUUGUUCGGAUUUACCGGGCGUAAAGGGCGCGUAGGCGGACUGAUAAGUCAGGGGUGAAAUCCCAAGGCUCAACCUUGGAACUGCCUUUGAUACUGUUUGUCUUGAGUUCGAGAGAGGUAAGUGGAACUGCGAGUGUAGAGGUGAAAUUCGUAGAUAUUCGCAAGAACACCAGUGGCGAAGGCGGCUUACUGGCUCGAAACUGACGCUGAGGCGCGAAAGCGUGGGGAGCAAACAGGAUUAGAUACCCGCGUAGUCCCUGUCUCUUAUAA
rnacentral:rRNA from 1 species